CUACAGCCAAUCAAUCCAAUCAGGCUCCCUUCCUCACAGAGGCCUCCUGCACAGUGGCUGCAAACAGCAGGCUCCUUGGCAGUGUAUGCAGCCUGUUACUUGCAUGGGCUGCCCUAGGGGACCUUGAAGACUGCC
ensembl:snoRNA SNORA70 Small nucleolar RNA SNORA70